UGCACAAUCAUCCAGUGUGAGAGGAAUAUCUUCUAAUUAAAGUCUCUGGUUUUAGUUGGAUAUAGAAGUGCCUACUUUUCAAUCCUUUGGUCACACAAUUGACAAUGGUGCAUUCUUUAAUAGGCCCCCAUGAUUCGUUACGGGUUAAAGAUCCUUAUAACUCUAAAGUGAAGAAAAAACCGUAGGAUAUCGUGCGUCAAAUGAUCUGCAAAAAAGUUUCCAGCUAAUAUUAUGAACGGAUUAUCAUCAUAGAAGAAGCAUUUCCUAAAAUGAUACUGAUUCCGCCGUAUAAAGUAUCAGUUUCUGUCAUAAAUCGGGACAACUUCGCUUCGGAAAUAAAUCGACGGAAAGAAAAUAGUACGGGAAGUGCUCGAAACUAAGACCUAAAAGUGCCUUCAUGAACGUGGAUUUCGUGCUUUCAAUCAUGCCCAGGAAUCUCUUGUACGAACUCAAGAACAAGAAUCGACUGGAUAUAACCUCAUAGAACAGUUUAGUCAUUCCUCAUGCACUCAAGCUGUUUUUACGUUCAUAUGGGUUGAAGAGAGUGGCGUCUGCUCGCUUCAAGGUCAUUUCAUUUUAAGUUCUCGGUACAUUUAUCCUUUGUUCACCGCUCCGUACGUAGAAUUACAACGCAGCGUGUGCGCAUACAGAAACAUGGCAUUGAUUCACUGGCUUAUCAGCGGCCACUGAUAUAAGUUUCAACAAUGAAACUUUCAAACUCGCUAUUGUCCUCAUUAAGUUUUUUUUUAACAUCAACGACCACGCUCAAAAGAACGCACGGGGCCGCCAAUGGUAUUACUUUGCGAACUAGUUUACGGAUGAGCCAACGAGUCGGCUGUAAGCAACAGUAACUUGAAGUAAUUCAUAAAUUUAAUUUCGCAGCUUACUUUUAUCACUGUAAUUCUGACAAAACCGUAAAUCUGCUUUAGUGGUGUUUUAAAGCAGUCAAAUGUGUAAAAUAUCUAUCGCAGUUCAUGUAUAUGCGAUAUAAAUGUUGAUUAUGUUAAAGCAA